rnacentral:rRNA from 1 species
UACGGGGGGGGCAAGCGUUGUUCGGAAUUACUGGGCGUAAAGGGUGCGUAGGCGGCUUUUUAAGUCGGAUGUGAAAACUCUGGGCUCAACCCAGAGACUGCAUCCGAAACUGGAGAGCUAGGGUUCUGGAGGGGAAAGCGGAAUUCCUGGUGUAGCAGUGAAAUGCGUAGAUAUCAGGAGGAACACCGGUGGCGAAGGCGGCUUUCUGGACAGAUACCGACGCUGAGGCACGAAAGCUAGGGGAGCAAACAGG